AAAUUGAAGAGUUUGAUCAUGGCUCAGAUUGAACGCUGGCGGCAGGCCUAACACAUGCAAGUCGAACGGUAACAGGAAGCAGCUUGCUGCUUCGCUGACGAGUGGCGGACGGGUGAGUAAUGUCUGGGAAACUGCCUGAUGGAGGGGGAUAACUACUGGAAACGGUGGCUAAUACCGCAUAACGUCGCAGGACCAAAGAGGGGGACCUUCGGGCCUCUUGCCAUCAGAUGUGCCCAGAUGGGAUUAGCUUGUUGGUGAGGUAACGGCUCACCAAGGCGACGAUCCCUAGCUGGUCUGAGAGGAUGACCAGCCACACUGGAACUGAGACACGGUCCAGACUCCUACGGGAGGCAGCAGUGGGGAAUAUUGCACAAUGGGCGCAAGCCUGAUGCAGCCAUGCCGCGUGUAUGAAGAAGGCCUU
rnacentral:rRNA from 1 species